UGGGGAAUAUUGCACAAUGGGCGCAAGCCUGAUGCAGCCAUGCCGCGUGUAUGAAGAAGGCCUUCGGGUUGUAAAGUACUUUCAGUCGGGAGGAAGGUGGUAAGGUUAAUAACCUUAUCAAUUGACGUUACCGACAGAAGAAGCACCGGCUAACUCCGUGCCAGCAGCCGCGGUAAUACGGAGGGUGCAAGCGUUAAUCGGAAUUACUGGGCGUAAAGCGCACGCAGGCGGUUUGUUAAGUAAGAUGUGAAAUCCCCGGGCUCAACCUGGGAACUGCAUCUGAUACUGGCAAGCUUGAGUCUCGUAGAGGGGGGUAGAAUUCCAGGUGUAGCGGUGAAAUGCGUAGAGAUAUGGAGGAAUACCGGUGGCGAAGGCGGCCCCCUGGACGAAGACUGACGCUCAGGUGCGAAAGCGUGGGGAGCAAACAGG
rnacentral:rRNA from 1 species